rnacentral:rRNA from 1 species
GACGAACGCUGGCGGCGUGCUUAACGCAUGCAAGUCGAACGGAAAGGCCUGCUUUCCCUUGUGGAUUGCGGGUACUCGAGUGGCGAACGGGUGAGUAACACGUGAGUGAUCUGCCCCCAACUUGGGUAUAAGCCUGGGAAACUGGGUCUAAUUCCCGAUAGGACUGCAGGGUGGUGCCUGUGGUGGAAAACGAUUUUCUAGUGGUUGGGGAUGAGCUCGCGGCCUAUCAGCUUGUUGGUGGGGUAAUGGCCUACCAAGGCGGCGACGGGUAGCCGGCCUGAGAGGGUGGACGGCCACAUUGGGACUGAGAUACGGCCCAGACUCCUACGGGAGGCAGCAGUGGGGAAUAUUGCACAAUGGGCGGAAGCCUGAUGCAGCGACGCCGCGUGGGGGAUGACGGCCUUCGGGUUGUAAACUCCUUUCGACCGCGAGGAAGCCACCUGGUUGGAAGGGUGGUGACGGUAGUGGAAGAAGAAGCACCGGCUAACUACAU